CCUUCCCUCCCUGGUGCAGAGACCCCCAGUGCCCAGGUGUCGUGGGCUGAGGAGGAGGAAGAGGAGGACUGCGUUGAGGAGGAGGAGGAGGAGCAGGAUUUGUCCCCUGAGGAAGAUACCAUCAUGGUGAUCCAGCAGCAACUCCAGGGCAGCGCUGAGGCUCUGCACAACCGCUAUUCGUGGAGCCUGGACACCAUCCUCAGGGGCCGGCUGACAGAGACCCCCACCAUGGAGAAGCUGCAGCACCUCCUGGAGCACAUCCAUCUCUCUCUCCAGUCAAAAAACACCCAGGAGAGAGCCAGGGCUGUAUAGACCAGCACAGCCCUGCUCCUGUUUGCCACCUCCCUGCCUGGAUUUGACGGCUCAACACCAGAGAGGCACCAGACCUGUGGUGCCAGGACGGGCUCCAGGACCCUGAGCGCCUGGGGUAUAGAAACCUGGCCAGGGUGGGAUAGCGGGAGGACAUUACAUCGAAGGUCAUGGCCCAGCUAUUUAACAUCAGGCGCUUGCGCCAGGUGCCCAAAGCACUGCAGGGGCUGUGCUCCGUGGGACAGCCUUGAAGGGGCCCCCCUUUGCAUGACCAGAAGCUCCCACUCCCUGCCACAGGCAGCUGUGGUCAUGGUGGAAUUGUGAAUAUCAGCCAGCCCUAUGUUGUACAGCUGAACUGGAGAGGAUUUUCCUUCACAUAUGGUUCCUGGGUAGGGAUUACUCUCUUCGGACUCUGCAGAAGGACCUAUACUGGGCUGCACCUUUGAACACGGAUGGGAGACUCUUAGAAUAUUACAGACUUCAUAAUUCCUAUGAUGAUUUGCUGCUAUUAAAAAUGCUAGAGAGUUAAAAAUUCAAUAUGGGGAAGGCAGUGGCACCACCGUUGACAAUAACUUCAUGUAUUAGAAUGUAUCUAAAUCAAGAGAUAUGGGCAAGCUCGAUUAAAACACAAACACAUUGGCUGUGAGGAAAACUCUGCCGAAUGCUACUUAUGGUAACCGUUUCUCUUAUGCUGGUGUUGAGUGGCAAGAUAUGGACUUUGCUGUGGAUGAAAGUGGAUUGUGGGUAUUUAUUCAACUGAGGACAACACAGGGAACAUUAUGAUUAGCAAACUCAAUGAGACCACAUUUGAUGUGCUCCAUACUUGGAAUACAAGGCAGUACAAGCCGUCCAUUUCCAGCGCUUUCAUCAUAUGUGGUAUUCUAUAUGCCACAAGACCUGUCCACACUCAGAAAGAGGAAAUAUUUUACACAUACGACACAAACACUGAACAGGAAGGUAAAAUUAGCAUAAUUAUGGAUAAAAUGUUAGAAACAAUUCAAAGUAUCAACUAUAACCCCUCAGACCGAGUCCUGUACGUUUACAAUGAUGGCUACCUUGUUAAAUACAAUCUUAUUUUUCAACCUGUGUUACACUGAUAUGAAUAUACACAACAACUAGAGAUCACAGAAAGUCCGAUUUUUAUAUCCCUCUGGACAAUGUGGAUGUUAAAUGAGGGCCUAUUCCUACCAAGAGUAGCUCCUGGAGAUAAGGCUUCUUACCAUGAGCUGUCCCACUGAAGGAUAAUAAGCUCUAUGCCUGGUAACAAUUGGGUGCAAGAUUAGGUUCAUAGCUUUUUAACUGGUGUUUAGCUACAAUGGCAACAGGAGCACUAGAAAUGCCUCUGCUAUAAACAUAGAUUAAAUAGAUGACUUAGUGACGGACAGAACAUGUAUCAUGAUAGAUUGCUCACAUACUGAUGUGCAUUUGGAGGAAAGUCUAUAUUUGGAUAACACAUGAAAACUGAACUGUUUUGUUGUCAUUGCUCAAAGUAUGCAAGGCCAUAAAUAUCAUAUUAAGCAUUGGCCUCAAAUAAUUACUAAAAGAUUAAAAUUAGAGGAGAAUUAGGACUUGAUCUUUAAAGAGCAGCCAUUGGUUAAGAUGAACUGUGGAAACAGUUGCCUUGGCUCCUUCUUGCAACCCAUCAAUGUAUUUUAGAUGGCAGGGCUCCAAUGCAUUACUUUCCUAAAGCUGCACUUCAUGAAAAAAACAUAUUAACUAUUUUUUGACGGUUUCAUUUUCUUAGCACUGUGUCCUGGGGGCCUGACCCAAAGCCCAAUGAAAGCAGUCCCUUGGUAUAUGGCAUAUGCUGCAGUAGAACAUAAGCUAUGCCAUCCUACAUGCUCCAUUUAGUCCUGGAGUCCAUUUAGUCUGCAAUUUACUGUGAUCUCCAUUAGCACCUUUCAAAAACCCUCUGAAAACAAGGAGCCAAAUUAAUUGCCAGUAUAAUUCCAUUGGCAUCAAUUACCUUACAUCGGGGGUGAAUCUGGCACGUGAUCUAUCAGUUACAGAAUACUGAAGUUGGGACAAAGUCAUAUGCUCUUUAUUUUUAAAAUGCCACUUACAAGAUUUUUAUCAAUAUCUGUACUGUAAUCAUGUCACAAAUGAGAUGUACAGUUAUGAAAAUGCAGUAAAUGUUUGCUGGUUUUCUU